rnacentral:rRNA from 1 species
GACGAACGCUGGCGGCGUGCUUAACACAUGCAAGUCGAACGAUGAAGCUAGAGCUUGCUCUGGUGGAUUAGUGGCGAACGGGUGAGUAACACGUGAGUAACCUGCCCCGAACUCUGGGAUAACUGCUGGAAACGGUAGCUAAUACCGGCUAUGACCAAUGAAAGCAUCUUCGGUUGGUGGAAAGAAUUUCGGUUCGGGAUGGACUCGCGGCCUAUCCGCUUGGUGGUGGGGUAACGGCUCACCAAGGCGACGACGGUUAGGCGGCCUGGGAGGGUGGUCGGCCACACUGGGACUGAGACACGGCCCAGACUCCUACGGGAGGCAGCAGUGGGGAAUAUUGCACAAUGGGCGCAAGCCUGAUGCAGCAACGCCGCGUGAGGGACGACGGCCUUCGGGUUGUAAACCUCUUUUAGUAGGGAAGAAGCGAAAGUGACGGUACCUGCAGAAAAAGCACCGGCUAACUACGUGCCAGCCGCCGCCGUAA